GUGGGGAAUCUUCCGCAAUGGACGAAAGUCUGACGGAGCAACGCCGCGUGAGUGAAGAAGGUUUUCGGAUCGUAAAGCUCUUUCGUUAGGGACGAACGUGCUCUUUGUGAAUAAUGAGGAGUAAUGACGGUACCUAAAUAAGAAGCCACGGCUAACUACGUGCCAGCAGCCGCGGUAAUACGUAGGUGGCAAGCGUUGUCCGGAAUUAUUGGGCGUAAAGCGCGCGCAGGCGGGAUAUCAAGUCUGUCUUAAAAGUGCGAGGCUCAACCUCGUGAGGGGACAGGAACUGGUAUUCUUGAGUGUCGGAGAGGAAAGUGGAAUUCCAAGUGUAGCGGUGAAAUGCGUAGAGAUUUGGAAGAACACCAGUGGCGAAGGCGACUUUCUGGACGAUGUCUGACGCUGAGGCGCGAAAGCUAGGGGAGCGAACGGGAUUAGAAACCCGGGUAGUCC
rnacentral:rRNA from 1 species